UACGUAGGGUCCGAGCGUUGUCCGGAAUUACUGGGCGUAAAGAGCUCGUAGGUGGUUUGUCGCGUUGUUCGUGAAAACUCACAGCUCAACUGUGGGCGUGCGGGCGAUACGGGCAGACUGGAGUACUGCAGGGGAGACUGGAAUUCCUGGUGUAGCGGUGGAAUGCGCAGAUAUCAGGAGGGAAACACCGGUGGGCGAAAGGCGGGGUCUCUGGGGCAGU
rnacentral:rRNA from 1 species